rnacentral:rRNA from 1 species
AUUGAACGCUGGCGGCAUGCCUAACACAUGCAAGUCGGACGAGUGGCGGACGGGUGAGUAAUGUCUCGGAAACUGCCGGAUGGCGGGGGAUAACUACUCGAAACGAUAGCUAAUACCGCAUACUAUCAGAUCUGCCCAGAUGUGAUUAGCUUGUUGGUGGGGUAAAGGCGCACCAAGGCGACGAUCCCUAGCUGGUCUGAGAGGAUGACCCGCCACACUGGAACUGAGACACGGGCCAGACUCCUACGGGAGGCAGCAGGGGGGAAUAUGGGACAAUGGGCGCAAGCCUGAUGCAGCCAUGCCGCGUGUAUGAAGAAGGCCUUCGGGUUGUAAAGGACUUUUAGCGGGGAAGCGUUACCCGAAGAAGAAGCACCGGCUAACUCCGUGCCAGCAGCCGCGGUAAUAC